CCCUUAGAUGUCCUGGGCUGCACGCGCGCUACACUGAUGCGUCCAAUAAGCACCUAACCUAAUCCGAAGGGACCGGGUAACCUUAGCAAAGCGCAUCGUGAUGGGGAUAGAUUAUUGCAAUUAUUAGUCUUGAACGAGGAAUUCCUAGUAAGCGCAAGUCAUCAGCUUGUGUUGAUUACGUCCCUGCCCUUUGUACACACCGUCCGUCGCUCCUACCGAUUGAGUGAUCCGGUGAAUACUUCGGACUGCAACCGGUGCGGUUUCCGUACCCUUUGCAAAAAGUUGAAUAAACCUUAUCACUUAGAGGAAGGAGAAGUCGUAACA
rnacentral:rRNA from 1 species